AUCUUGCAAGCGUGUCCCACCAUGCUCCGCGGUGGUAACGGCCUUUGGCGGGAAAGGCGCCGCGGGGCGGAGAUAGAUGACGCUGAGCUGUUGCUCCGGAAACCUGGGCAUCUUCUGCACUUCGGUGCCGCCGGCGGGAGUUGCAGGUGAUUUCAUUUAAAAGCCGAAGCGGAGCAGUGUGGCUUCUGCCUCUGGGAACCUGCGGUGGGCUGCAUCUUAGUUAAAGUGUCUAGACGGAUCCUCCAUAUCUAUCUAAAUGAAAACUGUGCCUUGAGUUUUCCUCUUCCUCCUUUCUAAGGAUGAAAAAGGAAGAGUGAUAAAACAGUUUAACUGCAGAGCCGAGAUCCCGGUUCUGUGCUGGUCUAGGGAGAUUAUUAAUUUAUUUGUUUAUUUUGCCAAGAUUAUCUGCAAAAGGAUUCUUGCAUUGGAUACCACAAUUUUGCUUCUUUGUUUUGUAAUAACGGGAAUAGAAGAGCCUUACGUGUGAAAUCAUACGGCCUUGUAGUGUUGUUAAUGAACUCGAAUUAUAAUAAAAGCAAACCAAUCUGGACUUAAGCUUGUGUGCCUGAAAUCCUAUCACUCCGGAAGCUGAGGCAAGGAGGGUCCAGCCUACCCUGUUAUACACAGUUCUAGUAAAGGUUAUCCCGGAGCCGGGCAGUGGUGGCGCAUGCCUUUAAUCCCAGCGCUCGGGAGGCAGAGGCAGGCGGAUUUCAGAGUUCGAGGCCAGCCUGGUCUACUGAGUGAGUUCCAGGACAGCCAGGGCUACACAGAGAAACUCUGUCUCGCCAAAAAAACAAAAACAACAACCAAUCUGGACAGUGGCAGAAGAACAGCGGGUAAAUAAAGCUGCCUGCCAUUCAAGACUGGGCCUGACUUAGAACCAUACUGGAAGCAGAGAGCCAUCGGGAAGGUUAUCCUCCCAUCCCCCAUGUAUGCUGUGCAUGUGUAUCGCUACCACCCCUGAACGUCAUAUGCACAUUCAAUAUCAAGUAGUUUUUAUUUUACUAAUGUCUGUAUGUGUGUUCUGGGGAAUCUUAGGUCAUCAGGCUUGUAAGGCCUUUUAUCCACUGAGCCAUUUCCCUUGUUUUAUUUUCUGUGAAACAGGAUCUCAUAUAACCUACCUAGGCUGGCCUCAGAUUUGUUGUCUUGCUGAAAAUGUCCUUGAACUCUUUACUCUUUUUAAAUAAAGGUUUUUUAAAAUU
ensembl:lincRNA 2010015M23Rik RIKEN cDNA 2010015M23 gene